UACGGGAGGCAGCAGUGGGGAAUAUUGCACAAUGGGGGAAACCCUGAUGCAGCCAUGCCGCGUGUGUGAAGAAGGCCUUCGGGUUGUAAAGCACUUUCAGUUGUGAGGAAAGUUUAGUAGUUAAUACCUGCUAGAUGUGACGUUAGCAACAGAAGAAGCACCGGCUAACUCCGUGCCAGCAGCCGCGGUAAUACGGAGGGUGCGAGCGUUAAUCGGAAUUACUGGGCGUAAAGCGCACGCAGGCGGUCUGUUAAGCUAGAUGUGAAAGCCCCGCGCUCAACGUGGGAGGGUCAUUUAGAACUGGCAGACUAGAGUCUUGGAGAGGGGAGUGGAAUUCCAGGUGUAGCGGUGAAAUGCGUAGAGAUCUGGAGGAACAUCAAUGGCGAAGGCAACUCCCUGGCCAAAGACUGACGCUCAUGUGCGAAAGUGUGGGUAGCGAACAGGAUUAGAUACCCUGGUAGUCCACACCGUAAACGCUGUCUACUAGCUGUUUGUGAAUUUAAUUCGUGAGUAGCGAAGCUAACGCGAUAAGUAGACCGCCUGGGGAGUACGGCCGCAA
rnacentral:rRNA from 1 species